UGGGGAAUAUUGGACAAUGGGCGGAAGCCUGAUCCAGCAAUACCGCGUGUGUGAAGAAGGCCUUAGGGUUGUAAAGCACUUUCAAUAGGGAGGAAAAAGGUAAGCUUAAUACGUUUGCCCUUGACAUUACCUAUACAAGAAGCACCGGCUAACUCCGUGCCAGCAGCCGCGGUAAUACGGAGGGUGCAAGCGUUAAUCGGAAUUACUGGGCGUAAAGCGUGCGUAGGCGGCCUGUUAAGUCAGAUGUGAAAGCCCCGGGCUCAACCUGGGAACUGCAUUUGAAACUGGCAAGCUAGAGUUGGGUAGAGGGGAGUGGAAUUUCAGGUGUAGCGGUGAAAUGCGUAGAUAUCUGAAGGAACACCAGUGGCGAAGGCGACUCCCUGGACUCAAACUGACGCUGAGGCACGAAAGCGUGGGUAGCAAACAGGAUUAGAUACCCAUGUAGUCCCUGAGCGGGCUGGCAAGGCGCAU
rnacentral:rRNA from 1 species